GCUGCUGUAGCUCAGCCGGUAGAGCGCGUCCUUGGUAAGGACGAGGUCGCGGGUUCAAGUCCCGCCAGCAGCUC
rnacentral:tRNA from 3 species